GUGUGUGUGUGUGUGUGUGUGUGUGUGUGUGUGUGUGUGUGUGUGUGUGUGUAUGUGUGUGUGUGUGUGUGUGUGUGUGUGUGUGUGUGUUAAUGUGUGUGUGUGUGUGUGUGUGUGUGUGUGUGUGUGUGUGAGUGAGAGAGAGAGAGAGCUCAAUGAGAGCGUCCAACCUGUCAGAAUGGAAGGCCUAAAGGAUUGACAAGUGCUUGUUAUGUUGCCUCUUCUUUCACAGACCCUGGUUUUCUGCUCGAUGGAGCUGAUUUCCACUGUGUUAUGGG
ensembl:lncRNA